rnacentral:misc_RNA from 1 species
GUACUCCAUUUCCCAAAUUUCUCCCAACUGUACUCCAUUUCCCAAAUUUCUCGUCGACGUGCUUGUGCUUGGUGACGUUGAUGACCUCCGUCUUCCUCUCCUCUCCGCUCUCGUGUUUCUUGUGCAAGGCCCAAGGGGCAGUGCUCGAGGACUCGCUGAUGGUGUCCUGCUUCCUGACCGCCUCCUGGAACCUGACAUCCUCGUCCACCGUCCGCCUGACGGCGGUCGCGCCCCCAGCCGGCCCUGGGACGGUCUGCUUGUGGACGUGGACGUGGACGUGGUCGCUGAAGUUGAGCACCUCGGCCUUGGCCUCCUCCUCUGCCUUCCUCCCCCUCUUCUUCUUCUUGUGCCAGCAGAGGAGCGUGGCAGCCAGGCAUGCCAUAAUAAUCAAGUGGAGUACACUUGUUCCGCCUGUACACAGCUACGAUCGAAGCACAAGCACACGGUGCUGCCUGUGCCUAUCCAAUGUCUAUGGGAAGCU